CCCUGGGGGCCUUCCAACGCAGUUGACCUGAGACCCUCCAGAUCACAUCUGCUUUGAGUCUGGGCCUAUGCAGUGGCUCAGUCCCAUUGCAUGAUGGUGUGAGCCCUUCUGCACUGAAGGCUGCUCCCAAAUGCCCCAGCUCGUGCUUGGCCCUAGCAGUCAAGACUCUUACUGGCAUGGCUGAGUACCACAGAAGAACUUACAGAUUCCAAGUGAUUCUCUCAUCCUGUGCUGGCUGUGAGUCUGCUGCUGGAUCUCUCUGCACCCCUGAUACCCUGUGGAAGGGCAACAGUGUAGCCACCUCCCAAGUUCUGGACCCUGGAUUUUUUCCUUCCUGGAGCACCAGCGUGACCUGGGCAGGUAAGGCAAGCACCUGUCAUGCACAUCAGCCAGUCAAGCCCAAGCUACGGUGACCCUUAUGUCGAAGCCAUGAACAUCUAUCUACUAUCAGAAAUAUGACAAAAUCCCAGAGAAGAAGAGUGGCCUCAAGGAACUAUUUGAACAGAGAUUCUCCAGUGCAUUGGUCUUCAUGAGUGCUGGGCGGAAGCACCUGCUCCAGGAGUACACAAGCACCAGUCUGAUGGAGAGCUUCAGCCAUGCCAUCUCUGUCCCUGGCUUUAACCAUGACAUCUGUGUCUGCCCUGUAGGUUAUCAUCAACUGAGGCUUCCGGGAGUCCUUGCUGGGGAUUGAACACAUCUUUGAGCAGCCUGGAGUUCAACACUGAAUCUACACGCUGAUGACAGAGAGACUUGGGGAAGAAAUGAACGUGGUUAUCAGGGACUUAGUAGCCCUGCAGGGACACCCCCUGGAAGUGCCUAAAAUACUGAGCCAAG